AAUAAUUCACAAAUAUAAACAAAAUGCUACACUUGCGCAUUUAUGGCAAAAUCCCAAUUUUGGCACUCCCAAAUUAGGAACUAAACAAGGCCUCAAUCUGAUAUAUCUGAACAAAUAGUUCUUGUGGGCAUGUAUAUAGAACUAUCAGGUAUUGAUUUUGGUGAAGCUAAGAAAUUGUUACUGGUGCCGAUCUGCAUGUGUAUAUUAUAUUUUUUUUAAUCUGUAUUAAUUGGUUCCUCAGGACGGCCGCAGGAACUCCCUCAGGACGGCCGUCAGGAACUGCCGUCAGGAAAUGAUUCCUGUCAGCCAACGGACAGGAGAAAUGGACCUUUCCUGACUAUGGGCUCCUGUCGGUGAGUUCUUGACGGUUUCGGGGUGUUCCCUGACGGUUUUUGGCCGUCAGGAGUUUCCCGCUUCCUGGUAGUGCGCUGAUGCUGCUUCUCUAAUUAGUUUCAGGGACUCAGCGAAGUCAUCUAGAAGGUGAUGACAAUCUGGAAAUUGUGAGUCAUCCACUGCAAGCACAACCCUGAUGGUGUCGGCGUAGCUUUGCCAAUGGAUAGUAAGUGCCUGCACAUAUUUAACAAAGGGAAACAACAAAUGAUCAAACGUUACCAAUGUGUGCAUAUUUAACUACCAUUCUACUGGACUGUGUAGAAUUAGAAGUUCUUGUAUAUGCAUAUACUUCCUCCGCUCUUUUUCGAUCAUAAGGCAAUUUUUAAUUCUUGCGGUCAAGUACGUGAUGUCAAACUCUGAAUAUUAAUUCAUUUUCAGAUGUACAAAUUUAUAUAUAUGAUAAUAUAUAUCUGCACAAUGAUGAUCACUUUAUGGCAAGCAUUGAACUUGACUCCUAUAUUAUAACAUACGAAAAUGACAGCUCAUACAUUAUAAAAUUCCUAAAAUUUAGUUACAUAUAUACUACAUAAAGGAGCAUGGUCCGGUUUAAUUCAUACCGAUGUGUUCCCACAUACGCUAGGUGCAAUGUAGACAACCCGGUGCCCAUAAAACUCUACUUGCUCAACUGGACCAAUCAUGUUGGAGAACGCCACUGUGGUAUUAGAUACCAUACGAUGGAAGAUAGCACCUGAAACCUGCAACAAGCUACGUGUAAGGAAAAUUUUUGAAAUUUCACACAAGGAUUCAGUUGUUUGAUCGGUCAAUGAAUUUAUUUUUAAAUUAAAUUUUGCUACAAUUUGAUGAAAUUUGGGCAUCGAGCACCCAUGUAGAAGAUGGUGGGAAAACUGGGAGAUACAGUGAGGAAUCAGAAACAAUUUAUCGUGUAAUGAUACUAAAGGGGGUUACUGAUAGGUACUAAAUGUCAAUUCUCUAGUAGUGUCUGUAGCAAUCAGGAUAAAUUUUAGUAGUGUCUGUAUAUAGCAAUCAGGAAUAAUUUAUCGUAUGAUGACACUAUAUCUUCUUUUUCUAACAAAACACAUUAUCUUAUGUACACAUGCUCACGCACACGUUGCACACCAAUGCUCACCCACCCACCCUUUCAUGUUAUUAAUAAAGUCAGUUAGGAUGAGGUGAGGUGCUCUGGGUUGUUGAGUUGAGCAUCUCGUAUUGAUAUCCCAAUCAAACAUCUUUCUUGGCUUAAUUAAGAUUGCUUAAUUAAUAAGAAAACAUACUGCUAGGUUCACCAAAAAGAAGAGGUCGAUAUAGGAUUUGUACCUUGGUGCCAAAAAGUUCAGUGCCCCUUUUUCCAAUUCCAUGCGUGACGAUUACCUCUAGUGAAUGUUUUUUCCUAUCUACAACCUUCUUUGCUUUGCGGACAUAUUCAAGAGGGUCAUCAUACAUAGCAAUGUAGAACGGGAGUAUGAUUUGCCCCACUGGAUUUCCCCAUUUUACACCAUUAUGCUUGCUAGGUUCCAUCAUCUGCGCUAACUCCUAAAGAAACAAAAAGAUAUUAAUAUAUGCACAUAGUAAUCGGAAGCCAAAAGGUGUUGUAAUUUGAAAUUUUGUAAAAAAAUAUUUUCAAGAACUUUUGGCUUACUUGUAUGCCAGGUGUUGACCUUACAUUCACCAUUAGGAGUGAUCUCAAGCACACAUCUUUCUUGGUGGCAUCGUCGCCUAUAGGAAUGCAAGGAACAUUGAUCAAUUUUCCUAUAAAUACACAUCAACACAGGAGAAACAACUCUAACUCCCAGCUGUUCACAACUGAUUGAGUAGUAAGAGUGUCACACUCACCGGACUUUCGGAAGUAAUACCGGGAUAGCGCAGCUGAUGUCACUCCGACUAACACGUCAUUUACUGUCUGCGCAUCAGUUCAUUGAGAUAUUAAGUGAACUUUAUAUAAGAUGUGACCUCCAAUAAAUCAUGAAAACUUUAUAUAACAUAUAAGUAAAUAUUAUUUAGAUAUUGAGAGCAAUUCAUGGAAAGGUUAACGUCACGUACGCAGCCGAGGACGUUCUUUACAUGCUUGACGUCGUCGAGGCUGAGACCGCGGCUGACUAAGCGCUUGCGCCUGAACUCGACGCCCUUCACGGCCGUGAACACCGUGCGCGGGUCCCUGACGAGGUCCAGCGCCAAGGCGGCGAAGCUCACGACGUCCACGAUGGUGUGCCAGGCGAGCAGGACGCAGGACAGGACCCAGGCGACGAACGCCAUGGCGCCCGCCGACCUCGCCGGUGGCGGCGAGGCCCCGUAGACGCGGCGCCGCCCCUUGAGUCGCGCGGGCGGCGGCAUGGCCGACGGCAUCACCGGCAGGGUCUUGGGGUCGGUGGCACUCCGCGUGCACGCCAGGAGCAGGGAGAUCAGCGACGUGCCGUCGCCGAGGGCGUGGUUGAUGCGGAACACGGCGGCCGACGCCGCUUCGGAGGUCGGGAAGUCCAGGAUGUGGAGCUCCCACAGCGGCCGUGACUUGUCCAUGGGGAGCGUGGACAGGGAGGACACGUAGUCCUCCAGGACCUUGUCGGGGUCGGCGGCGAUGGCGGCGGGGUCAAGGUCCGGGACGAUAAUGUGGUCGUCCAGGUUCACCGGCGUCCGGACCCAUCGAUGCUCUGGCCCGUCUGUCACCUGCUCAAGUUCACUUCGUCAUCUUGUGUACCACUAUUGGUAACCUGGGCUUUGGUUUUUGUUGCAAUAAACUCUAUAAGUGGGAGAAUUUCCAUUUGAAACGACGUUUAGUUAACGUUUCAAAGUUUUUUUAAAUACGGAGUACAUGCUCAAAGACUUACAUGGAUGCUGCAGAAGCGAGGGUGCCGCACGAGGGUGACCUCGAGGCCGGCGCGAGCCAGUUCAAUGUCGAUGGGCGCAGCGAGGCCGACGACGGCGACGAUACAGAAAUCGCCGUACAAUUGUGCCGUGGGGCUCAGGGGCUCAUCGUCCGCUUCGCCGGUUGCCCCAACUCCACGAGUGUCUAUUGAAAGCAUGGGCAAUGGCGGUGGUGAGACGGGGCUGGCACUGUGGUCACCCAUUCUUUCUAGCGUUACGGUGUCUCUUCUAUGUUUGGAUCCAGAGAGCAGCUGCACAAGGGGUGCUUUAUAUACAUCGUCACGGGCGUCCGGACGCGCAUCUCGCUUCGGAUGGGAGAUGUGGCACAAGCCUAUCCACGUAAUAGAGGUUUGCAUGAUGGGUUUUGAGAUGUUUAAAUGUUGCAAUAUCUAAUGUUUUAUGAGAUGUGGCACAAGCCUAUCCACGUAAUAGAGGUCUGCGUGAUGGGUUUUGAGAUGUUCAAAUGUUGCAAUAUCUAGCUUCUGAUGUUUUAUCUAUUGACUUUUUAUGUUGCAGUACACCUGCCACUACUACAGGACGAGCCAUGCGAGACGAGUUAUCACAAACAAUUUUACAUAAACUGGUGGUGAUACUUUAUCACCGCCGGUUGCAAAGGAAAUGGAGCUGUAGGAGGUGAAAACCGGCAGUGAAAAUUACCAUCACCGUUGGUUUGUAUUACGAGCCGGCGGUGAGACUAUUACCAGUAUCACCGCUGGCUCGUAAUACAAAAUUUUCAACAACUUCAAUUUUGAAAAUAACUCGUGUCCGGCCCAUGCCAUCCCCCCCCCCCCGGUGCACCGCCCGACCCCCAUCUUGCACACCCUCUCUCUCUCAAGCCGCCCUCUUCUCUCCGCUGCACCCUCCUUGUCGGCCAGAUCCCCCCUCUUCUGCUCCCUCCCCUCCCCCCUCCGCUCGCCCCUCGCUGGCAGUGGGGAGUGGCGGCAGGACAAGGUGUGGGAGCAAGACUCGAGGCUCGGUGGCGCAGAGUGGCACGUGGGGGAGCGGCAGUGGCGCAGGGUGGCCGCCCAGACUUGCCUCUCUCCUCCCUACCCAGAUCUGGCCGGUGUAGGGGUCGAGGCGCGGCGGUGACGACGGAUGAGGACCAGCGGCGCAGCUGGCUGACGUGGGUAAGCCACCUCCCUCUCUCUCUCUCUUUCUCUCUCUCUCUCCCCCUCUCUCUGGUCGAGGGGCACAUGGUGGGGCGUCGAGGCUCCGGUGGCGGCGGCGCUCGGUGGGGCGGCGGGGCGGUGGGGCUGGGAUUGGCCUUUUUUUGGUUUUUUGGGAAGGGUCUCACCGCCGGUUUUAAAACAGGCGGUGUCAGAACCGGCGGUGAUGGGAUACCCUAUCACUCCCAUCUUUCAUGCGAGGGAUCCAAAACCGGCGGUGAAGGGCACUUGAGAGCCGGUGGUGAUAAGGCAUUGUGGAGUAGUGUACGCUUGUAUAGUAUGAAAGUAUUUUUGUGAUAUAUCUAGUAGUAUCGAUUCUGUGUUGCCAGUCUAUAAUAAGUUUUCAAAGUUGAAAGGGUUUUAUUUAGAACAAACCUAGAUGGGUUUAUGUCUAAGGUAGAAUGAAAUAAUCAGAAUUAUUCAUUGCAAGUAGGUGGCAGUUAGCUGCACACCUAUUUGCAGCAGCAUUUGAUGCACAUGUUUCUAUCAGAGAAAGUGCGCCACCGGAAACAAGGACGGUCCUAUUAUAUAUUAAGAUAUAUAUAUUUGAAUAUUUCAGUUCAAGGAAUACUAGAAGAAAGAUAAUUUUUAAAAUACUCAUUUAGCAUGAAUGCAUGGUUUUCACUACAAGAAAACUGUCACACACUACGGGAAACAGUAAAGUUGCUGAGUGCCACAGGCAUUCGGCGAAGACCCAAAAAUACUCGGCAAACAGUUUGCCGAGUGUAACACUCGGCAUAUGGCACACGACAAAUUUUAUGUCAGCAAACAGAUGUUUGCCAAGUGUCAAACCUUGUGCACUCGGCAAACGUUUUGCCGACGGCCAAAAACACACUCGGCGACAACGGCGGUGACGGCGUUCAGGUUAACGGCGCGUUUGCCGAGUGCCAGAUGGCAGACACUCGGCAAAAAUGUGUACCUUUGCCGAGUGUCGGCCUUGAGGCACACGGCAAACUCGAGGCUAUUUGCCGAGUGUCGGCGCCUUGGCACUCGGCAAAUACGUGGACCUUUGCCGAGUGUCAUGGUCAUGACAGUCGGCAAAUACGUAGACCUUUGCCGAGUGUUAGCCCAAACACUUGGCAAACAAGAGACAGGAGGUGGUGCAACUGGCCACUUUGCCGAGUGUUAAAGCCAAAACACUCGGCAAAUAGGGGCUUUGCCGAGUGUAACACUCGGCAAAGUGGCCAAAACACUCGGCAAAUAGGGGCUUUGCCGAGUGUAACACUCAGCAAAGUGGACAGUAUCCCCUUUUUUACCCGUUUUGUCAUGUAUAACGACCCCUCUCAAUUCACAAUACAAUCAUCACAGGCAUUUGUAAUAAACAAUCACAGGCAUAAUUCACAACCACCAUUACAAGCAUUAUUCAUAAACAUCACAGGCAUAAUCCAACAUAAGCAUGAAACAAUCCAUAAAUCCUAGUUCAAGUCACAACUAAGUUUCAUCCAAGUUCACAACUAAGUCUAGUUCCGUGGAGGCCAAGGAGACCACUGUGAUAAAUCUUGAUCUUCAUUAUUCGAAGCCACCGAUUGAUUCUGCACAUAGGAUAGGACAUUCUGAGCUAACAUCUAAAGUUGUCAAAAUUAAAGUAUUCAAUCUUAAGCACAAUGUGUCAAGUGACUCACAGGAGUAGUUGUGGGUGGCUGAGGCGGAGGGAACAGCAUCGGUGGCGGAGGCAAAGAUUGACCCAUGCUCGAAGCAAAAUUCUGCAUGUACUGGAACAUCUGGUCCAUCCUCAUCCGAUUUUCUUCCUACAUCCUCUGCCGCAUCUCCUCCAUCUGCGCCGCCAUCUCCUCUUGUUGCUUCCUUGCUGCUUCCACCUGGGUCUACAGUAUUUCAUUGCAAUGUUAUAAUGCAAAGCUAAAGUAUAACAACAAACGAAUGAUGAAUGGGAGAGAAAGAACCUGGAGAGCCUCCAUCUGGAACUAUGCAGUGGUGGGUCGUGGCCGUAUCGCCGAGCUCGAGUCCGUGCUCCUUGCUCGGAUCUGGGAGAGAGUGGGAGUAGAGGCCGUGUCGAUUACACCGUCGCCAAUCCAAUAUCGGCCAUGCUUUUUGCCUCCUCCCACCCUCAUCACGAUUACUCCAUCAAUGUCCUCGGAGCUCGGAUCGAAGUCUGGCCCGUGAACCUCCCUAGCCAUCGCUGUAUACUCGGUGACGCGACUGUGUAUGCUAGGAUGGCUGUACGCCUCGGACGGGUCGUCCGGGUCGAAAUAGAUAUCGACCGUCGUCUUGCCCUUUUUGGAGAGGAUCCAUGCCUUGAGCUGGGAGCAAGGUCGGCCAUCAUGUGACGACAACUGCGGCAAAAAAAUACAAAAUGAUUAGGAAUUAUGCAGAAUUGAACGUUAGAAUAAAGAAUUGAAGUUGCAUACCCAUUUUUCUCUAUUUUCAUCAAGACUUAGGCUGCCUUGAUGGUGUGGUGUAGUCAGCAUCUGCAAAUGCCGCUGCCAGCAAGUAAGGUGGUUAUCCAACCACACGUCCACCAUCAUCUCCCAGCACCGGAUAUGCGCACGGCACCACCACAGAGGCACCUACAUCAUCAAGCGUGUGACAUAUGAAAAAAGAAAUUGAGCCUAAUUAAUCUUAAAUAAAGUAAGUAUCAACGUUCUUUACUUACCCUCAUGAAUUGGUCCUUGGUCAGGUUCAUUGUCCUUGCCUCCUCUUUUCUAACCUUCAUCUGUCUGUAUUGAGCGUAGAAUUUGAUGAUGGCCUGGAUGCGCGCCUCGUAAUGCAUGUCCUUCACGAGCUUCUUGGCGGCUAGAUCAGAGACGGCAUUCGCCUUGGCCUCGAAUCCCUCCUGGCAUCUAUAGAAAUCCUGCAUAUAGACGCGAUGUAUACAGUUAUUAUUUCAAGAAUGUCGAACGUAGGUGAUGUAUUGAGCAAUGUAGUGCGAGGAGUACUUACCCACAGCUUGGCCUUCACCCACUCUGCUAUGUUGGGGAAUCUCCUCUGUUGACAAUCAGGAACGUCGGGGGUGGCGAUGUAGUGAUCCCACAUGUAGGCCGGCUGCUGCGGUCCGGCGUACACCACCAAGCCAGGGAAGUGAACCCUGCACAAAAGGCCAAGGAUCCCGUUGGCCUUACGGUUGUGGCCACCCCCACUGAGCUUAAUCCAACUCCUGCACAAGUGAUUAAUAUAAAUUAUUAGUUUUUAUAACUUUCAACAUAAGAACAUUAUUGAGAAUAUUUAAAGUUACUUGGUCCCAAUCGGUUUAAUCAGCGGGCGUAAAUGCUCAGGUAUCGGACGCUUCGGGAGGGAUGAGGGACCUCGCAACCAUAUCUUGGACUGGGCAUCCCCUGCCUCCCCGUCCCCCUCCUAUUCUUGCUGCUCCUCCUCCUCCUACUCGUCAUCCCCAGAGGCGUGUGUGGAAGGUAGCUCCUUUUCCUCCUCCUCCUCCUCCUCCUCCUCCACCUUAGGUUCAGGCGAUGGGGGCCUCACCGCUUUACCCUUCCCUCGAGGCCUCUGGACCACCACCUCCUCCUCCUCCUCAACCCUGCAUCGAGGCCUACCUCGACGCCUCCCUCGACCGCUCCCUGAACGUGACCCUGACCCUGAACUAGUCCCUGUAGCGGCCAGUCUCUCGCAAAUCGAGGUGAGCUUCCUCAUAUCGCCCACCAUUGCUCAAUGACCUACAAUUAAAAAGAGUGAACCAAUCAGCAUAGAUAAACAAAACAUAAUUAGAAAGAUAUGCAAAUUAUAAAUAAAUUAGUACGACUCAUACAUGUAUUAUAUAUAAUCAUCAUGAUUGGGAUUAGCUGGAUCAUAAAUCUCAUCAUCACUAUCACGCGUGUCGAUAUAGUCAAGCCCAUGCUCCGAAGGAGGAAUGUCAUCAUCACUGUCAUUAGCUAACUGUAAUUCUAAGUCCUUCACAUUCUGAACCUCAUCUCCAGCAUCCUCUUCAGCAACCCUUUCGUUGUCUACUUCCAUUCCAAUCGCUUCGGUUAAAUCUAUCACAAAACUCCCUUCGAGCCCAUCUUCUUGGAAUAACUCUCCUUCGUACGUGUUGGGGUCUAUAUUGUAAUCUUCAUUGUUUGGUACAGGUAGCUUACCGUGUGGCGAUACCUUGUACACAACAUCCCAACCCUUAAGACAACUGUCGGUUUGGCACGGGUAUGACAAAUAAUAAAUUUGUGGCCUGUUAAGCCACAAUAUAGACAUCAUCUCCUGGUAACAUGGAUGAUUGUCGAAUUUUGACUAGCCCAAGAUUAGGGGCCCGUCUCACGACAGAUGGAUCAGACCAAUGGCAUUUGAAUAUGACUGGAUUAAGAGGUUUGCAACCAUGAAAAGUUAGUUCGAAUUCUUCCGUAGUACUCGACCCCAUCAGAGCCUGUCGUGAAAACUCCGGUAUUUGUGGUUCUUCGAUUGGGCCGACUCUGCUCGUGCCUUGUUGUGUGAAAACGAUAUCCGUUGACGUCAUAACCGGCAAAUAACCUGACCCUAUAGUCACAGCCAUCGGCAACAUGUCUCAACUCGACAUUCAUAGACGCAUCAGUUCGGCCUUGCAAGUUCAAGCAAGGCGGUUCGUUAUAUUAAUCGUAUGUACGAGAAUUGACGAUGAAAUUGGAUUGUACCUUCUGUUUGAACCAAGAAAUGAAAUCGGGCAUUCCAUUUCCCGCACCCUCUUUGAGAAGAGUCUCAGCUUCGUGCGGGUACGGUUGCCUUGAUUUACACCAGAAUUGACGAUGAAAUUGCCUGUAGCAAUGAGAAAUAUGCGAUUAGGCAAAAGAAUGGUGACUAGUUCAAAACAAGUUUGUUGAGAACUUACAUCAUGUACGGCACCACCUCGGAUAGGUUGGUCAACACAUACAGCAUGAUAGAGCGCCACUCUUCAUGGUUCAAGGUCUUGCGGGUCGCACCACUUGCACUUCCGAGUUGCCGUCGGAAAAUGCUAAGGCUCAAUUCAUCUUCGCUGGCAUUGUAACGAGGAGGUGGAUUAUGCACGCUAGUAAGGUUGUCAGCGUAGUAUUUUGAUGUGAAGUUUGACACCUCCUCCAAAAUGUAUGCCUCUGUAACGGAUGCUUCAAUUUUGCACUUAUUCUUACCUUUAGUUCAAAGAACCUUUUGACAUCUCUCAAUUGAAUAGCACCAACGACCCUGCACAGGCCCCCCCAUUCGUGCUUCAUACGGGAGGUGUAGAAUCAUAUGCUGCAUCGGAUUGAAGAAGCCUGGUGGAAAGAUCUUCUCCAACUUACAGAGCAACACAAGCACCAUUGUUUCCAUUUCUGCAACCACGGUACAAGAUAACUCCUUCGCACAAAGCUGGCGGAAGAAAUUGCUCAACUCCGCUAGCACCUACCACACAUGCUCAGGGACAUAGCCUCGAACCAUCACCGGAAGUAGGCGCUCAAGCCAUAUAUGGUAAUCAUGACUCUUGAGCCCGUUGAUUCGCAUAGUUGCUAAAUUUACUCCCCUCUUCAAAUUCGCUGCAUAGCCAUCAGGGAAUAUUAACGUUUGGAACCAUUCUAGUACCUCCCUCCUUUGGGCCCUCGUCAGAACGAAAUCGGCCUUAGGCUUCCUCCACGACUUGCCAGCUCUUGGAGGCGCCAUGUUUAGCUUUGGUCUGUUUCACAACCUCCCAUGAUCCACUCUAGCCUUAACGUUAUCCUUUGUCUUGUCAGGAAUGUCCAUGAUUGUACCAAAAAUUGCCUCGGCGAUAUUCUUUCCGUGUGCAUUACAUCAAUGUUAUGUGGAAGAAGAAGGUCAUCAAAAUAGGGGAGGUUCCACAAGCACGACUUCUACGUCCAAGCAUGUUGCUCGCCAUAUCCCAAAAAACCACCUUCUUCAUUAUUGACCUCAAGAGCAUCUAACUAAGCACGAACUGCGGCCCCUAUCAUCAUCGGCUGUGCGGGGUCUGUAACUACGACAUCUUUCGUAAAGUUCUUGAUGUUUCGUCUAAAUGGAUGGUCAGGAGGGAGGAAUUGUCGAUGUUUGUUGAACGAAAAAUACUUGCCACCCUUCGACAACCAAAUGAACUUCAAAGAUGCUUUACAUACUGGGCAUGGGAACUUCCCGUGAACACACCAUUCGCAGAAAAUCCCAUAUGCCGUCAAGUCAUGCAGGGAGUACUGGUACCAAACAUGCAUCUUGAAGUUUGUCUUUGUAGCUCGGUCAUAUGUCCAUACCUCUUCUCCCAAGCAUGGACCAAAUCAUCAAUCAGAGGCUCCAUGUACACACUCAUAUUAUUCCCCGGGUGCUCUAGAAUUAUCAACGACAAGAAUAUAUUAUGUCGUUGAAAGAGGAUGCCAGGGGGGAAAUUCAGGGGGAUAAUGAAAAUGGGCCAACAGGUGUACGGGGCGGCCCCCAUUCCAUAAGGAUUGAACCCAUCUAUUGCCAACGCAACGCGUACAUUACGGGCCUCUAGAGGUUUCGCAGGAUAAAUCGCAUCAAAGCUUUUCCAGGUUUCAGCAUCGGAUGGGUGUACCAGCUUCUCAGGAUUAUAUCGACGUCCGUUUUUGUGCCAUGUCAUCUGUUUCACGGAUUCUUCAGUCAUGUAAAGCCAUUGGAUCCUCGGUAUGAAAGGAAGAUACCAUAGAACCUUCACGGGAAUUGUGAGCUGCUUCUUCUGACCAUCACCAGAGUCUAUCUCCAGAAAUCUAAAUGAUUCGCACUUCACACAGUACUUUGCUUCCGCAUACUCUUUCCUAAAUAAGAUGCAUCCCUUCGGGCAAGCAUGUAUAUGCUCGUAUGGCAUCUUAAGUGCACGAAGGAGUUUCUAUACCUCAUAUAUGCUCUUUGGCAAAAUGUGAUCAACCGGGAGCAGGCUUCCAAAAACUGUCAACAUAAUAUCAAACGCGUCUCGACUCAAGCUAAACUGAGACCUCACAGCCAUUAGGCGUGCAAUGGCAUCUAGUUGAGAAACCUUGGUAUGGCCGUGAAGGGGUUGCUGUGCCGCAGACAACAUUUCGUAAUAAGCCUUUGCAGUAGCCUCUGGCUCCUCCUCCCUACGUGCUUCAUCGAAGUGUGCUUCAUGAUAGUCAUUUAACAUGUCUCCCACUCUGGCAUCACCAUCAUAUUCCUUGAUGCGUUGUCUCAAGACCUCCUCUCUCCCAUGAUCGGAUUCACCAUGGUAGAUCCACCUGGUGUAGUCUGAUGUAAAUCCGCUCUUCUCAAGAUGUUUGCCCAUGUCUAGCUUGGUUUGCCGACGCAUGUUUCCACAUUUGCUACACGGACACCAAGUCGAUCUAGCUCCUUUGACACUUGCAAACGCCCAUUCCAAGAAAGCAUCUGUCUUGUCAAUCCAUUCAUUGGUCAACGUAUUCUAACUAGUGCAGCCCGUGUACAUCCACUGAUGAUCCUCCAUCCUCUAGCAUAUAAGUGAAUAAUACAAAAAUCACAUUGCAUCUACAUGUUCCUAUAUUGUUUAUUAGGUGAAGAUAGGUCCUAAUCCCACCCGAGGAUGUGUAGGUGGGUUUAGUAUCCAUGGUCUACUCCGACCCGAGAUAGAAUUUCAGCAGCACCUCCACACUAUUCUACAAACCCGAUUCGAGAUGGGAGAUUAGAAUCUGGAGAACACCAUGGAGGUGUUGCCGAAACUCUAUCUCGGAUCGGAAUAGACCAUGGAUACUAAACCCACCUACACAUCCUCGGGUUGUCCAAAAAUGUGGACAAUUCGAAACAGAUACUGUUAUAGAUAUGCAAAAAUCUGCAUAUUUCCAACCGUAUCUCUUUCGAACGGGAGACGCCUAACUAGGUUCGUGAUAUACGAACAUCAUACAGAAAGAGAGGUGUAGGAUGCCUCACCUUGCUAUCCUGCAAAGUGACGACUUGAGGAUGGUAACGUAUGCUCACCUGAAAAAAAAAGAACAUACUACUGUCAAGUUAAAAUUUCGACAGCACCUCCCCUGCACGGGGAGGUUUCCAUAACCUGCAUCAAAAACGGCUCAAUGGCCGACAAUCACAUCUACAACAACGCAACGGCACGAUGGACGACAUCCACAUACGGUUCUUAUACCUUAAAUUGCCAAGUCAAACAUUCUUUCCUAUCCUUUUCUAAUUUCUAAUUCAUCCUACCACCUCUACCUUUUCUAAUUUCUAAUUCAUCCUACCAGGAUUUGCCGAGUGCUAGAUCGCGGGCACUCAGCAAAGGCCUUUUUUAAUUUUUUUCGGAUUUUCCAGGCUUUGCCGAGUGCUAGAUCGCGGGCACUCGGCAAAGGCCUUUUUUAUUUUUUUCGGAUUUUCUAACCGUACCAUCGCUGGGAAGUGGACCCGUGGAAAUGUUUGCCGAGUGUCCUAGGCUUGACACUCGGCAAAGCACUCCUUUGCCAAGUGCCUCGAUGCGACACUCGGGAAAGUACGCUUAUAUUUCAUGUGUAAACUUUCACUAAUAUGUUUUAGUAAUUUAAAGUCUGUAAACUUUGCAAAAACCUAGUCAAAUUCACUAAGCAAUGCGUAUUUCAUUUUUUUACUAAUAUUAUUCCAUUAUUUCAUGGAUUUAUAGCUCAUAUUGAAUUUAUAUCUAUUAAAUUUAUAUAAUUGCAAUUAAUAAAUAAAAAUUAUCAAACGGAUCCGAAAAAUUCCCAAAAUUUGACAUGAACCAAUCUAUGUUGUCUAUGGCCUAUAAAAAAAUUUUGAACUCAAUGACAAAUUCAAGGAUCGAUUCGACUCAAAAUCUUACCGGAUCCUUCCAACUUCUACGAAUCCUCUCCGGAGAUGCUUCGAUUUCUAAGCAUCAUAUGUCAAAAUUUGUGCGAAACCUUCUCAAUUUUUUACCACAGCCUCCACAUAUGAAAUCAUAGCACCUUGACAAAUCUCGUGAUUUUCAAACUUCGUUUGUAUUUUUGAGAAUUAAAAAUUCAUUCGGCCACACGUUCGUGGUCGUGUUUUCUUAACAAAAUGUCCGAAAUUUCUUUUCAUUUCCCGGAUGAGACCUCAAUUUGGACUCAUUAACAUGAAUAUGAUUUUUCCACUCAUAUUAUUCCAUUAUUCCAAUCACAUGCAGUUCAAAUUUGACUUAAAUCAACAAAUUACUCUAAAUGAAAUUAAUUCAUUAAAUAUAGCAAACAGGUCAAGAAAUAGACCACCUUCUAACAUGCAGUGCCAAAUGUCAUAUGUGGGGAGUACAAAAAGUUUGGAGGGUGGAGGAGGGAAAAAUUGUUUUGGUUUUGCCGAGUGUCGCAAAAAACACUCGGCAACUAUUUAGUAUUUGCUGAGUGUCCCAUUAAACACUCGGUAAAUCUUCAUCUUUGCUGAGUGUUGACGGCGGAUACUCGGCAAACAACUAACAUCCAGCACACCCCUAACGAACACCACACGUGCCGGUCACGUGGUUAAGAGUUGCCGAGUGUCGGCUGCGAGUAUGCCGAGUGUUUUUUGUUUGACACUCGGCAAAUAGGAUUUUCGCCGAGUGUAUAAUGUUUGCCAAGUGUUUUCACGGAGACACUCGGCAAACACCGCCUUUGCCAAGUGCCCGAGAUAAUGCACUCGGUGAACAUAAAAUACUCGGCAACUUUACUGUUUCCCGUAGUGACACCCGGUUUUAAAAAGAAACCAAGUACUACCUAUAUGUAUACCAGGAUCUAAAUUCAUAGAUAUAGUGAUAUCAUUAGUGAAUAACAGCAAUAGUAUCACGUAAAAAGAUAUAGAGUCUAUCAGAGAUUUACAGCUUAAUUCUGGAAACGAAGGUUCUAAAUUUCACAGGCAAUCGUUUGGGGGUUGCGUACGCCUAGUACUCAGCACUAUCUUCACAACAAACUUGGUAGCCGCUUCUUCUUCUGAGCAACGUUGGUUAUAGCAAGGGUGAGCACAUGUCAUACUCAGCAAGUGUGGAGAAAAUAUGAAUGCGUUAAAAGGGGUACCGAAAUAGCAAUAUCGGAUGCACAACCGGUACUUAAAAAGGGGUUAGGAACCAGUACUGAAGGCGUUAUGUCCUCAUGUACACGAGGAGUUGAUUUUAAAGCAGUCUGUCGUAUCAAGUUCUCUUUGUAUCAAAGGAUGUGUAUUUAGUGGAGAACUCCAAUAGUUCGAUGGAUUUCAAUCUGAUGUGUAUGAACAAAUAGUUCUUGUUGACAUGUAUACAGAACUAUCAGGUAUUGAUUUUGGUGAAGCUGAGAAAUUGUUACAGGUGCCGAUCUGCAUGAUUAUAUUAUAUAUUUUGUUUUAUCUGUAUUAAUUGGUUUCCUCAGGACGGCCGUCAGGAACUGCCUGGAAAAGAUUCCUGUAGGCCAACCCACAGGAGAAAUGGACCUUUCCUGACUAUGGGCUCCUGUCGGUCUGACGGUUUUGGGGUGUUCCCUGACGGAUUUUGGCCGUCAGGAGUUUCCUGCUUCCUGGUAGUGCGCUGAUGCUGCUUCUCUAAUUAGUUUCAGGGACUCAGCGAAGUCAUCUAGAAGGUGAUGACAAUCUGGAAAUUGUGAGUCAUCCACUGCAAGCACAACCCUGAUGGUGUCGGCGUAGCUUUGCCAAAGGAUAGUAAGUGCCUGCACAUAUUUAACAAAGGGAAACAACAAAUGAUCAAACAUU
rnacentral:lncRNA from 1 species